UAUGUUAUAGCUCAGUUGGUUAGAGCAUGGUCCUGAUAAUGCCAAAGUCGUGGGUUCAAUCCCAGCUGCAUAU